rnacentral:rRNA from 1 species
GAGUUUGAUUCUGGCUCAGGAUGAACGCUGACAGAAUGCUUAACACAUGCAAGUCGACUCGAGUCUUCGGACUUGGGUGGCGCACGGGUGAGUAACGCGUAAAGAACUUGCCUCUUAGACCGGGACAACAUCUGGAAACGGAUGCUAAUACCGGAUAUUAUGGUUUUUUCGCAUGGAGGAAUCAUGAAAGCUGGAUGCGCUAAGAGAGAGCUUUGCGUCCCAUUAGCUGGUUGGUGAGGUAACGGCCCACCAAGGCAAUGAUGGGUAGCCGGCCUGAGAGGGUGAACGGCCACAAGGGGACUGAGACACGGCCCUUACUCCUACGGGAGGCAGCAGUGGGGAAUAUUGGACAAUGGACCACAAGUCUGAUCCAGCAAUUCUGUGUGCACGAUGACGUUUUUCGGAAUGUAAAGUGCUUUCAGUCGGGAAGAAGU